rnacentral:rRNA from 1 species
AGGACGAACGCUGGCGGCGUGCUUAACACAUGCAAGUCGAGCGGAAAGGCCCUUCGGGGUACUCGAGCGGCGAACGGGUGAGUAACACGUGAGUAAUCUGCCCCUAGCUCUGGGAUAGCUCCGGGAAAACCGGGAUUAAUACCAGAUACGACCACUUUAGACAUCUGCUGUGGUGGAAAGAAUUUCGGCUAGGGAUGAGCUCGCGGCCUAUCAGCUUGUUGGUGAGGUAACGGCUCACCAAGGCGACGACGGGUAGCCGGCCUGAGAGGGCGACCGGCCACACUGGGACUGAGACACGGCCCAGACUCCUACGGGAGGCAGCAGUGGGGAAUAUUGCGCAAUGGGCGAAAGCCUGACGCAGCGACGCCGCGUGGGGGAUGAAGGCCUUCGGGUUGUAAACCCCUUUCAGCAGGGACGAAGCGAAAGUGACGGUACUGCAGAAGAAGCGCCGGCUAACUACGCGCCAGCAGCCGCGGUAA